rnacentral:rRNA from 1 species
CAGUAGCCACGGUAAUACGUAGGUCCCGAGCGUUGUCCGGAUUUAUUGGGCGUAAAGCGAGCGCAGGCGGUUAGAUAAGUCUGAAGUUAAAGGCUGUGGCUUAACCAUAGUACGCUUUGGAAACUGUUUAACUUGAGUGCAAGAGGGGAGAGUGGAGUUCCAUGUGUAGCGGUGAAAUGCGUAGAUAUAUGGAGGAACACCGGUGGCGAAAGCGGCUCUCUGGCUUGUAACUGACGCUGAGGCUCGAAAGCGUGGGGCGCAAACAGGAUUAGAUACCCCUGUAGUCCCUGUCUCUUAUACC